rnacentral:rRNA from 1 species
GAGCCCGGAGAUGGAUUCUGAGACACGAAUCCAGGCCCUACGGGGCGCAGCAGGCGCGAAAACUUUGCAAUGCGGGAAACCGUGACAAGGGAACUCUGAGUGCCCGUAAAAUCGGGCUGUCCAUCAGUUUAAACAACUGGUGAAGAAAGGGCCGGGCAAGACCGGUGCCAGCCGCCGCGGUAAUACCGGCGGCUCGAGUGGUGGCCACUAUUACUGGGCUUAAAGCGUUCGUAGCUGGUCUGUUAAGUCCCUGGGGAAAUCUUCCGGCUUAACCGGAAGGCGUCUCAGAGAUACUGGCAGACUAGGGACCGGAAGAGGUGAGAGGUACUCCAGGGGUAGGAGUGAAAUCCUGUAAUCCUUGGGGGACCACCUGUGGCGAAGGCGUCUCACCAGAACGGCUCCGACAGUGAGGGACGAAAGCUGGGGGAGCAAACCGGAUUAGAUACCCGGGUAGUCCCAGCUGUAAACGAUGCGCGUUAGGUGUAUCAGUGACCACGAGUUACUGAGGUGCCGAAGAGAAAUCGUGAAACGCGCCGCCUGGGAAGUAAGGUCGCAAGGCUGAAACU